rnacentral:lncRNA from 1 species
AUCAUAGAAGCAUGGGUAUAAUUUGCUCCAUUUUAGUGGUACUUCCCCUUUCCCUCUCCUCCUAGCUCCUCAUUCCCCAUCCUCUCCUGGUCUUCCUUCUGUUUAUUUAUAGUUUUAAACUACUGGUUUAUAGACAAACAUAAUGGUGAAAUUUACUGUGAUAUAUUCAUAUAUGUUCAGAGCAGUUUUGAUGGGAUAAUAUAGAUAAGUGUGGAGAAAAUGGUCAUUGUUGUAAUGAUGACUUUUGUCACUGGUACAUGGUGUGUGUAAUUGAGUCUUUUAUGGACUUUGGUAUAUUUUAGUUUCUCAUAAAUCCUACACAUUUCUCUUAACAAACAUGUUCCCAUGUGAGAUACAACAUUUAUGUGAAUCUGUAUGAAACUCACGUGGUGUUGGGCUUGGUCGCCCUGAGUCUGCUACAACAGUCUGUAAUCCCAGUGGCUCAGGAGGCUGAGGCAGGAGCAUCCUGAGAUCCAUCAACCUCAGCAACUUAGCAAGGCCCUAAGCAACUCAGUGAGACCCUGUGUCUAAAAAAAAAAAAAAAAAAGAUGGGAAUGUGGCUCAGAAGUUAAGUGGCCAUGAGUUCAAUCCCUGGUACCAAAAACAAACAAACAAACCAAAAACCCAAAACAAAACAAACAAAAAGUCUCAUGGUGUAAAUUUGUGUGUGUCAAAAUGACUUUCCCCCAUGUAGACUUUGUCACUGGGUUCUCAUCCCUCUCGCUGAUAUUUUCCUGGUCCUGUGUUUCAGAACUGCUUGAUGUGGGAUCCCACAGUUGGCCUAAAUUCUCCUGGAGUGUCUCAUGAACAUCAGUACCUGGGUCUUAUCCUGUUAGAGAGCUGAUGAAUUUAGGGGUGUAGUCUCUCAGGAGUAGCUGAGUGUCCUGCAGGUGAGAGGAAUCUCCUGGUGUACCCUUUAUCUAAAAAGCACUUAUUUCCUUAUCUUGGCUACUGUGUAUACUGCCAAGUGAAGAUAAGUAUGAAGUCAUUUAUUAACAGAGGGAUUCCAGUUCCUUUGGCUGUAUACCCAGAAUUAUUUUCACUGCAUCAUAUAGUAGUUCUAUAUUUAGUUUUGAAACAACUUUCAUGCUAUUUAUAAAAAAUAUUCUGUACCAAAUUUAUAUGUUACCAACCAUGUAAAAGAGGUUCUUUCUUCCAUUUCCAUAAGAUCAGAGCCCUCAUUACCUUUUCAGAUUUGCUUAGGCUGCACAAGAUCUUAAAUUUGACUGGUGCACUAAAUUCCUGUUGCAAGCUUGCUAGAAUUCAAGCUGCCCAGUAGCCACUGGGAAAAGGAGCCGUGAACCUCUUCUAGAAAUAAAGGGAAUAAGCAGAGAUUGUAGGUGGGCAUGGAGGUGCAUGCCUGUAAUCCCAUCAUCUGGAGAGGCAAAAGCAGGAGGAUUGCAAGUUCAAAGCCAGACUCAGCCACUUAGCAAGCACUUAGCAAGGCGCUAAGCUGCUAAACAUGACUCUGUACCCCCCUCCCCCCGCAAAAAAAAAAAAAAAAAAAAAGAGUAAUAAAAGGGCCGGGGAUGUGAUGCAGUUGUAAUAUGCCCAAGGGUUCAAUCCCUGGUACAAAAUAACAACCGUAACACACAAGCAAAACUGGGAUCUGUGGUUUUUAACUACUUUUCUUCACUUCUUGUGGGGACUGUAGCACACAGAAGUGCUUGCACACCAAUGUGAAGCUCCUCCUCUGUGAUCUGGGGAGAUACACAUAUGCACAAUUGCCAUUUCUCCUAGGGUUUGGGGAUGCAGUCUGUUGAGUGGAAUGAGUUACAGUUGGG